UGCAUGACAAAUAAAAAUAUUGUAUAUAUUAUUGCUUCUACUUGCUUCUUAUGCAUCGACAAUAGUGCACAUUAAAUUUGGCAGGUUUAUGACAUGCGAUUUGAUCUGAAUGAAGUUAAAGCAAGGAGGGAAAGAUACCUAUCUACCAUAUCCUUCUUAACUUGUUAAACAUGUUUGACUUCCUAUGAGAUUCUCAGCUAAACAAGAAAAAAAUAUUUGUCAUAUGCUUGAUGAAAUUCUCUCUUCCAGAAGUUAUGAAAGCCUCGAGGAUUUUCAUUCCAAGUGCUUUUUAGGUAGGGUUUUGAGCAAGUAUAAUAUAAAGGAUAAAAAAUAUUAGUAGUGCUGUUGACAUGUCUCAGCCUUCAGGGAUGGUGCAGAUUUCCCCACUUGAGAACCAGCUCCCUUUGCUGGAACUGCUGAAAGCACAUUUUUUCAUUUCACCUGGUUUGUUAACUUACAUGAUUUAAUAUGCAUUUUCAUUUUCUUAAUUUAUUUUUUGUCUGAUAUGGAUAUUUGGUUAUUGAUGCUGCUGAAUUCUGUUUACAUCUCUUAUUGGAUUCAGGAAUCUGCUUGUUUUAUAUUGUUUUCCUUUGUUUUUGAGUGUAAAAUUCAAAUGGCUGGUUUAUAUAUGAAUGUCCUGUACAGAUGUUUGUUAAUAUGGGCUACAAAGAGACCCUUUACAUUUGCCUUGUACAGUGUUGAUUUAUGGAAAAGUUGAACAAUAUGAAAAAUUUUGAUUUCAUGUGCAAGUUUCUAUA